AAACAAGUGAACUGAAUAUUUGACAGAACACAUACCGGGGGUACUAGAUGUGUGAGGGACAGACUGUUGCCCAAAGCGACAUCAGUUCAAUACAGGGGACGGUGGCAGCACAAGCAGCUGCCCAUCAGCAGCCACCAGACCAGCUCUAUGUCAUCACGCUCUCUGGCCAGAUCAAUAAAUAAUAAGGAUGAACUGAGGAUGUUGUCUGUCAGCCAUGAUCGAUCUGAUGGAGUCAGGAGAAGCAAACCCGGGGUUGAAAGCAUGAGAUGCAGGGGACGAAGGACGAUGACAGAAUCAGUCAUCUCACACAUUGUAACAUAUCUUUUUCAUUUUCUUGGCUGUUUCAACCAGCUGGGGACAUUUGCUCGCCUCAAAACAUACCAGGGAACUUCAGGAAAAUACUGACAUGCAUAUACAGGUGUCCUUUUUUCUAAGAUUCAUCUUCCCAAGGAAAAGUAAACAAGAGAAAAUAAUUUGCCCUGAAUGAAUUUCUAAUUGCCUGAUCAUUUUGUUGAAUAAACUUACAAACAUUGAAAUGAUGGGUGCCCCUGCCUAUGGAAAAGUGAACAAAAUAAAUUUGCCCCGACUGAA